rnacentral:rRNA from 1 species
UACGUAGGGUGCGAGCGUUAUUCGGAAUUACUGGGCGUAAAGCGUGCGCAGGCGGUCCGCAAAGUCUGAUGUGAAAGCCCCGGGCUCAACCUGGGAACUGCAUUGGAAACUAACGGGCUCGAGUGUGGCAGAGGGGGGUGGAAUUCCACGUGUAGCAGUGAAAUGCGUAGAGAUGUGGAGGAACACCGAUGGCGAAGGCAGCCCCCUGGGCUAACACUGACGCUCAGGCACGAAAGCGUGGGGAGCAAACAGG